UCUACCGUUGAGUUAGCAACCCGAAAAAAAUGAGAAAAAAAUUAGAAUAUGUAGAUACAAUCGGAAUAAAAAAAUGGAAUUGCACUAGGCAAUCAAAACACGAAAUUAGCAAAAAUUGGAAUAAAAAAAAGACACGAAAUUCUCAGAUAAAACCAUAGAAAUAGAAUAAGUGAAAAUUUGCGGACCGCCUCCUGUCUUAUUCAUACCAUUGUUAUCCAUUUUUUUUUGUUUCAAUACAAUUACAAUAAAAAAAACUUAUUGUAUCACAACAAAUUCAAAGAAAGAACCCAUUAUUUGAAUGAAGUGAAGUGCCAAACGAGGAUAAAUGGAUCUAUUUAUCUAUGAUCGAAUUAUAUUUGUUCGAUACACUGUUGUCAAUAUGAUUGUAAAUUUUGAAUAUAAAUGUUGAGAGUUGAGAAAAGAAUAAAGAAUAUAAAAAAGACUACAAAAAAUACAAUGAAAAAAAAGAAUUCAUUUUUUUAUUAAUUAUUAUUAAUAUUUUCUCUUUUUAUAUGUUAUAUGUUAUUUUAUCUUAUUUUAUGUUGUUUUGUAAAUGUUUAAAUGCAAUUACUUCAUUUAUUCACUUGAUCUUUUUUCUCUCUAUUUUCUAUCAAUAAAAUUGGCUCAAUAAAAUCGGGUUUUGUUGUUAUAGAACACGGUAUUCUAGAUUUUAUAGUAGCAAUAUUCUAUAGUAGCAAAGCAAUAAGAAAUACGAAUAAUAAAUUUUUUUAAAAUAAAAGUCUGAAUAGACCAAAAGAGGGGGGAGGAAAUAAUAAAGAAAAAUUUAUACAAAGCUAGAUAUGAAUCAUCCACACCCUCUUUUUUGGAUUUCAUUAAUUGAAUUUUGUUUGAUUAAGACUAAGUUCUGUAAAAACACCUGCCUUCUUUAAAAUAUCAUGAACAGUUGCUGUGGGUUGAGCUCCUUUUUCAAGGAAAUAGAGAAUGGCGGGAACAUUUAAAUAGGUUUGAUUAUUUAUCGGAUCAUAAAAACCCACUUUUCGAAGAUCUCUUCCCUCUCUUCGGGAUCGAACAUCAAUUGCAACGAUUCGAUAAACGGCUCAUUGGGAUAGAUGUAGUUAAAUAAUACCCCCUAGAAACGUCUAAGAAGUUUUCUCCUCGUACGGCUCGAGAAAAAAAUGAUUAAUUAAAAGUUAUGUCUAUGUAUGGAAUUAGAAUGUAUGGAAUUAGAAUGUCAAAAUGAUCCAUAAACCAGCAAAUCAAUUAGACAUUUAACCCCGUCUUUUUUUUCAAAAAAGAAGAAGAAAAAAGCAUUCGUACUCUCAUAACUCAAGUCAAAUAACUCGCAAAAUGCUCAAAAAUAAUCCUUAGGCAUUCCUUUAUUGAGUGGUCUAUAACCCCUUUUUUGUUUGUCUCGCUUAGAAUCUAUUUCGAUUCUUCAUUUUAAUCUAGUUGUUGAGAAAAUGGAAAAGGGUAUUUCCUUGUUCUAGGAUCUUUUAUCUUUGCCUUGAAUCAUUGGGUUUAGACAUUCCUUCGGCGAUAUUUAAUCAUUUCUAAAAUGGCAGCAACAUGCCCUUUUUUCUCUCUCUUCUUUUUCUAUCAAAGAAUCAUAUGAACGAUUAAUUCCCGCAUGAUACACUUUUGAUCGAAAGAGUUUUACCAAUUCCAACAACUUUUCUUUUUGAUUUGAAAAUAGUUGGAAUCAGAUCCUUUCGAUUUUUAUAUCACAAAUAGACUUACGAAGUUGUUCCAACUUAUUGAUUUCCAUUAACUAACCCUAGAUCCUUGCCCCUGAAAAAUGGAUGUUUCUCUUUGAGCUCCAUCCUGUACUAUUUACAUUACAACCCAACAAAAAGACGGAUUAUAAUAGAACAAAGGAUGUCGAGCAAAAAGCACCUUCAUUUCUACAUAACGGAAAGUGGUGGGUUUUGACAUCCACAGCUGAUCAUGUCCUUCAAGUCGCACGUUGCUUUCUACCACAUCGUUUCAAACGAAGUUUUACCAUAACAUUCCUCUAGUUUGGAGCAUUGAUUCAAUUAUGGAAUCAUGAAUAGUCAUUGGUUCAGUCGAUACAUAGUAAUCUAUCUAUACUUUCUAUAUGAAAUCAAUUUCCUUCUAUAUGCUAUAUGAAAUAAAUAAAUAAUUUAGGAAGAAAAAGCCUCAAUAAGAAUUCAAACUACCCCAUAUUGUAUGAUUGUCUGAAUGUAAUAUUUUUUUAUUUUUUUAAACUUUUAUUAUACUUUUCUAUUCUAAUUAAACUUUUCGAUUCUAAUUAAAAAAAUAAAUAAAGAAUAUCAUUAAUAAUAAUAUUACGAAAAUACUAAUAAUAUCACGAAUAUUAUAAAUAACACAAAUAAACUAAUCUUUUUGAAUCUAUCGGGUUCGACGCAGUGGAUAAAUUAGAUAAACCAGCUUGAUAAAUCAAAUUUGAAUUCAAAGCAAUGGAUACUUUGUAAUCCAGUAAUUACUGUCGGUUUGUUGAAUUGCAAUUAAACUCGGCCCAAUCUUUUACUAAAAGGAUUGAGCCGAUUCUAUUGUCUAU
rnacentral:lncRNA from 1 species